CCAGGUCCCCGGUGCGCGCCGCGGGCGCCGCCCUGCCCCACCUGGAGAGCGCGCCGCGGGCGUGAGGAGCUGGAGGCGGGAGCCUGACUCCUGCGACCCACUCCGGCGCCACCCCCCACCCGGAGGGGGACAGAGCCACUUUGGCGAGGCGCUUUGCACGCUUUGCACGUGGUCACCAUCCCUUGAGAAAAACAACCGUCAAUAACUAGGCCCCGCAAACUUCCCAUUGUGACACCCCUAGGGCCACCUCUGCUUUUACCUGUUCUUAAGUUGGUGUCCUUCAUCUUAACUCUGGGCGCGUUGAUACGCGCGACCUUCACGUUCAGGCUCAAGGUGGGAAGAGUAACCCUCGGCUGCAGGCUGGCGGUCUGCAGAGGCGUCAGACCAUCUCUCCCACCCACCCCUUCUCCCGUCUGAGCGUAGGGGGCUGCUCUCCGCCGUGUGACCCCUGGGGGAGGGCUGCUGGUGGCGGUGCUGGGGCAAGUCCGCAUUGAAUUUAAGGACAGAAAGGAGCCCUUUAGAGCAAAUUUUUCCCCUUCUCUCGCAGCAGGAAUCCCGGGGCUCUGUGGGUGGGAGGACUCCUCCUCCCCAUGUCCUCUGACUGCCUGGAUUGUGUGUGUGUGUGUUUGUGUGUGUGUGUGUGUGUGUGUGUGUGUGUGUGUUUCUGGAUUAUGAUUUAUUUACUUAUUUAUUUAUUGCCUUUAUUUUAAAACAGGUAUCAGACUCCAGUAGUUGCCCAUUUAUUUUAAUUUAGAUACUGAGUGUUCUUCUCCAAAUCCUAAAGUCCAAAAUCUGCUGGCAGUUCAGGACGUGGCUCCAGCUCAGACUUCCCGGUGCAUCACCCACAGCAGACAGCAGGGCACAGGGCUCCCUCUUCCCAGUGGGACCUUCCGUCUUUCCCCUCUAUACAGCUUUUUCUCCCAGUCCCUACGGGGAGAAGUAAAUUCUUGGACACACUUUCCAAAGCCAAAAGCCAUGCCCAUGAGCUGUUCAUUCUGACUAUUCAUGGAGAGACACCAGGCAAUUGAAAUGAGAAAAUCCCACUGUGCCUCUGUGAGCCUUGGGGCUGCUGACUUUGGUGGCUUGAGUCCCAGGGUGCCAUUGUGGCCUCCGCCAGGUCCCCCAGGGCCAGGACCUCUCCCGGCCAAGGUCAAGAAGAGGCUUUGACCUCUCUGAACCUCUGACCUCUCUGAACACCUCAUCUUACCCGUAGUCCUUUGCUUGAUGUUUAUUUUCCUGACCACACUCUACCUUCUGCAGGGCGUCCGCCACCCCCAUCCCCCAUCUGCCUGCUUCCUUCCCUGUUGUAUCAUAUCUCUGGUGCCUAGCCAAGAACCCAGCCCAUGGUAAGUGCCCCAAAAAUGUUUAUCCCAUGCCAGGAUGGACCCAGCCUUCUCUGUGCUGACUGCCCAAGGAGGAAAUGAAAUGACUCUGAACAUAAAGAGUAUCAAACUCAUGAAGAAGCGGACUUUUACCCCUUGGAGUUUCUAUUUCCAUGUGGCGACUUGUCUAUUCAUCCAGCUUCAAACGUACCUUCCCGGUGAGAGGCCCAAGUGUCUGGGCACAGGUAACCAGGCAGGAAAGGGAGGUAGGUGUGGGAGCCUCGGUGGUGGAGGUGAAGCCAAUGUACCUGCAAGCCAUCAAGGCCUUAGUGAAGGCCGGUGUGAAUUUUCUUCUGGACAAAGAGAGGGGAGUCCAGCAUGUGCUCUUGUUCCUUCAGCCUUUGGAAUGCUUGAUCAAUACCCACUCCGCAGAACAGAGCCAAAAGAAACAGGGGUCUAGGGACCAGCCCAGAGGUCUCAGAAUUGGCUUAAGGACCCUGGAGAUCUGGAAGAGCAUGAGAUCACAAAAUACAAUAAAAUCAUAAAACAUCAACUAAGCAGAAUAUGAAACUUGGUGCAGAAGAAGAAUGAAUAUUCUUUUUUAAAAAUUGUUUUUAUUAAAAAAUUUUUUUUAA